rnacentral:rRNA from 1 species
UAGGUGACAAGCGUUGUCCGGAUUUACUGGGUGUAAAGGGAGCGCAGGCCGCCUUUUAAGCGUGUUGUGAAAUGUCCCGGCUCAACCGGGUCACUGCAGCGCGAACUGGAAGGCUUGAGUACGCUGUAGGUAGGCGGAAUUCGUGGUGUAGCGGUGAAAUGCUUAGAUAUCACGAAGAACUCCGAUUGCGAAGGCAGCCUACCAUCGCGUGACUGACGCUGAGGCUCGAAAGUGCGGGUAUCGA